UGUAAAGAAGCACCCCCAAAGUCAAUGGUUUUAUGUGGGGAGUAGCACUAAACAAGAUUCUUACCUAUGACAAUUUAUACAAAAGAGCCUUCUUCAGGCCAUCAAGGUGUAGCUUGUGUGAACUCAAAAGAAAAGGUGGAUCCUUUGCUCAUCCAUUGCCCUUUUUCUUCUUAUUUUAUGGAAUGAAUUGUUGUCUUUAUUUUGCAUUAUCUGAGUGGUUCCUGAAAUGGUUGAAAAAUUGCCAUGCAUUUGUCCUAAAGGCUCAAAAGAAAAGGUGGAUCCUUUGCUCAUCCAUUGCCCUUUUUCUUCUUAUUUAUGGAAUGAAUCGUUGUCUUUAUUUUGUAUUCUCUGAGUGGUUCCUGAAAUGGUUGAAAAAUUUCCAUUCAGUUGUCCUAAAGGCUCAACAAAGUUACAAAGCCUUUGGAAAUAUGUAUAAGGUGUCUUCUUUGGGGCUUAUGGCUAUAUGGAACUGUAGGAUUUUGGAAGCAAGGGAGUGUCAGUGGACAAUUUCUGGAAUUGAAUAUGAUCACCAAUAACAGAAUAUGCGAUUCCUGAGCUUAAAAAAACAUCUUCUUCCUUCUCACUUGCUGAUCAAAGGAUACUCAGGAAUUGGGGAAUUUUAAUUCAAGUUUUUCCUCCCCUCAUUCAUGGAGUAAGAGGAAAGCACUCAAGAAGACUACAAGAAUCUUUCAAGAUAAUCUGAUAAAAUGAAAGUUGGUCUCCUCCUUGAGAAGGUUUCUUAAAAUAAAUUUUUUAAUGGUACCUCGAUUUGCAAUCCGAGUAAAGCUGGAGGUGGCUUGAACAUGUGAGAUGUGCAAGGCAAAUUUUUAUGUGGAGGUCCAUUAUUCUUUGGAUCUAAAACCAAUAAUCAGGCAGAAUGGGAGACUUUGUUAGCUAUGAUAGCCAUGGUAGUAGAAUGGCAAUACAAGCAUGUGAUAGAAGGUGAUUCUCUAAUAGUAUGAAAUUAUGAAUGCUCUGUCUAAAGGCUAUUGUCGUAACUAGCACUUCAACUGCUUUGUGGAAUAAGUUUAAAUUGAUUGAUGUGUCCUCCCAAUUUUGGAAUGGAAUAGGACCCUCUUAUAGCUGAGUAUAGCCCACAGGUAGAAACUUCUCCAGAAUUGGGAAAAUUUAUUGGUCUACACCCUCCAUGAUUUAUGAAGUGCGAUCAUGUAUAAUCUGCACAUACUUUUGUAGAUAUUAGUUUGAGAUUUAAUUCAUAGAAGUUGGGGAUUAUGUUUGCGGUGCUUGAAGGUCUAGUAACCACACUUUUAGUAAUUUUGCAGCUGAUUGGAGUUGGAUUCAGCCUAGCAGGCUUAUGCAAUCCAUGGAGGAGCAUGAGAAUUUAAGGUUCUGUAUCUUGUGUUUCUUGGCUUUUAAAUGCUAAGCCUUGUCCGUUAUUGGACAAUGUGGCUCUGGUUCUUUGUUCUUCUUGAAAGUCUAUUUGUAGUUGGUGGAGGCAUUUGGUUUACUACAGGAAUGGUGAGCAAAGGAAUGGCAGUAAGGGAAAAUGUAUGACAAUGGUGACUCAGUCUUGGUAAACAACUUGAGGUGCAUCUUCCAUUGUGAUAGCAAUGUUGCUUUAGGGUUUGUGCAUAAAAUCUUGGUUGAAUGUAGCCUGGAAGCUAGUAAGAAGAAGUUAGUGUUGCAUAAGGAUUUUUCUAUAGCUUGGCUACCUUUGUUCUUGAUGCAUAGGUAAGGGUUUGCUUGUUGCAAUUGUUUCUGCCUGACUAAUUGAAAUAUAUUGAGGUGACUAGGCUCAUGGGAAUCCCCAGUGGUGUUCAGUAGGAGGUCAGUGAGCUUUUUUGCUGCAUUGUUGUAUAGGAAUGAGGAAUUGGAGGAUCUUCAUUGAUAGGUAGGUGCUCUGAGGGUUUAUUGUUUUGAGUCUUGACACUAGAAAUGUUUUGGUCAGCCACUGUGUUACCUUUUUCUACCAUUGUUCUUGAUGCAUAGGUAAGGGUUUGCUUGUUGCAAUUGUUUCUGCCUGACCAAUUUAAAUAUAUUGAGGUGGCUAGGCUCAUGGGAAUCCCUUGUGGUGUUCAGUAGGAGGUCAGUGAGCUCUUUUGCUGCAUUGUUGUAUAGGAAUGUGUGAUGAACCUGUGAAAUGGGGCCACCUGGCCUGGAUGGCAAUCUCCAGGUUGCCAACUGUGCACUCUUGUCCUUUAGCAGAAAAAUCAGGUUUUGUUUUGUUGUGACAACUGAUCAGAUUUUGUUUUGAAGUGACAACCGACUUCUUGAAGCUUCUGACUUCUUGAAGGGGGCCUAAUCAGAUUGCUUUGUCUUCUAGAGACAAACCGCCCUAGGGUUUCUCUUUGGCAACUAUGUGCCAACUGUCUGCUACUAUUUGUAAACUGGAAGCUUCUACCAACUUCAGCCAACUCGCUGCUAACUGUGUUUUGCCUCUUUACAGACUGGCAUCCCUUCAUUGAAGGCAAUCAGAUUGUUUACUUGCCUUGCAGUACAAGUUAAUGUACCACCCCAAGUGGGUAUAUAUUGAAGACUCUGCUUUGUUUUUUCGGAAUAUUUUGGUCUGCCUUUGUGCACAAUUUGGGUCUUGGGACGGAACCCCCAAGAGAUCACCACUGCCGCUGUGUGUUACUGUUCGAGCUCUAUAUGGUCUUGGGACGGAACCCUCAAGAGCUAUCCUCUGCUUUACUGGUUCAGAAAAACACAGUUUUAGAUCAUACAGACCUUAAGGUCUUCACAGAAUGAGGAAUUGGAGGAUCUUCAUUGAUAGGCUAAUGCUGUUUCCUUCAGAGCCUGGCAAACCAAUGAAGGUGAAUCUCCAGGGCUGAUAAACCAGGGGGAUUUGAGCCUCAAAGACAGUGCUCCAGAGGAUCUCCAAGAGCAAUCUCAUCCUGAGGUUGUAUACGUGCUGAAUGCUUUCCAGUUGCAGAUCUAUUUUGGGUAGUUUGCAGCUUAUUCAUAGAAGUUUGGAGUGCAUAGUUUAGGAGUUUAGUUUCAGAUUGUAUUGCGAACAGCAUAUAGUUCUAUUUAUUGCUGUUGUUGGAAUGUUAUUUCAUAUAUUAUAUUAUUAUGGACAAUUGUAAGAAGUUUGGAGAGUUUAUUUGGGAGUUGCAGUAGUUCUCUUGUGUGUAUAAGCUCCAGAUUUGGAAUUUUGUUUAUAAAGUAUUUUGCUGUUGA